ACAACACCAACAACAACAUGUUAAUCCAUAACAAUUGUUUUGUAUAAAUAAUUAAAUUGUUUAACCAGCCACUAACAUUCCUUGUUGCAUUGUUAAGCUGGUGAGAAAGAUGAAAAUUUACGCUCUAAUUGCUGUUAUCCUGGCCUUGGCUGCUGUGGCCUCGGGUAAUCCCAAUCCCAGACCUGGUGGUGGAGGAGGCGGUGGCGGAGGUGGUGGUGCCGGAGGAGGUGGUGGCGGCGGAGGUGGUGG